rnacentral:rRNA from 1 species
GAUGAACGCUGGCGGCGUGCCUAAUACAUGCAAGUCGAGCGAACGGACGAGAAGCUUGCUUCUCUGAUGUUAGCGGCGGACGGGAGUAACACGUGGAUAACCUACCUAUAAGACUGGGAUAACUUCGGGAAACCGUAGCUAAUACCGGAUAAUAUUUUGAACCGCAUGGUUCAAAAGUGAAAGACGGUCUUGCUGUCACUUAUAGAUGGAUCCGCGCUGCAUUAGCUAGUUGGUAAGGUAACGGCUUACCAAGGCAACGAUGCAUAGCCGACCUGAGAGGGUGAUCGGCCACACUGGAACUGAGACACGGUCCAGACUCCUACGGGAGGCAGCAGUAGGGAAUCUUCCGCAAUGGGCGAAAGCCUGACGGAGCAACGCCGCGUGAGUGAUGAAGGUCUUCGGAUCGUAAAACUCUGUUAUUAGGGAAGAACAUAUGUGUAAGUAACUGUGCACAUCUUGACGGUACCUAAUCAGAAAGCCACGGCUAACUACGUG